UACAGAGGUGGCAAGCGUUGUUCGGAAUUAUUGGGCGUAAAGGGCGCGUAGGCGGCUUGGCAAGUCAAAGGUGAAAUCCCUCGGCUCAACUGAGGAACUGCCUUUGAAACUGCCUGGCUUGAGGCCGGGAGGGGUAGCGGAAUUCCCAGUGUAGCGGUGAAAUGCGUAGAUAUUGGGAGGAACACCAGUGGCGAAGGCGGCUACCUGGACCGGUUCUGACGCUGAUGCGCGAAAGCGUGGGUAGCAACAGG
rnacentral:rRNA from 1 species